AUGCCUAUAAGAAGAGCCAGGCCAGCCGUGACUUUGAGAGCAUCAACUUGCCUAACAAAUCACAAGAUAAUGAGCGUUGUAGUGACCAAGUCCUCGCCGGCGGUGGUCGCCGGCCCUUUCGACGCCGGCAUCGUCCAUCUCUCCUCGUUCGACAGGUGCAUGGGCCCUACUGAGGUCACGCUGCUCCUCGUCUUCGACCAACCAAUCGACCAACCCGUCAAGACCAUCAAAAACGCCCUGUCGCAGGCGCUGGCGCACUAUCCCCCGAUGGCCGGCCGCCUCGCCGCCACCGGCGGCGACGGGGAGCUCCACAUCGCGUGCACCGGCGAGGGCGUGUCCUUCGUGGGCGCGUCAGCUAGCUGUGCCCUGGACGACGACGAUGUCACGAGAUCGGCGCUGCUCCACGGCGACCUCGCCGUCGGCUACCCCGCCGAAUACUGCAGCCUCAUCGACCCCUUGCUGCUGAUGCAGGUGACCGAGUUCUCCUGCGGCGGGUUCGCCGUGGGCGUGACGUGGAACCACGUCAUAGCCGACGCGGCGGGGAUGGCGCAGUUCCUGCAGGCCGUCGGCGAGCUCGCCCGGGGCGUGCCGCAGCUGGCCGUCGUUCCGGUCAGGUGUGAAGUCCAAGGCUCGCUGCCUUGCCUCCCGCCGCCGCUGGUGGCCGCCAUGAGGUCUCAUAUGCGCGUAGAAACCGAGGAACUGGCCACCUUGGACGUCACCAUCCCCACGAGCUUGAUCAACCGCAUAAAAUUCGAGUGUGGCGGCGACUGCACGACGUUCGAAGCCGUCGCCGCGGUGCUCUGGCGGUGCCGCACCCGCGCGGUCAUCUCCGACGGUGACCACGACGCCUCCGUGCCCCUCGCCUUCCCGAGCAACGUGCGAGAACUCGUCGGCGCCAGGGAAGGCUACUACGGCAACUGCAUCACCAUGCAGCUGGUCCAGGCGACAAGCGGCACGGUGGCGGGCGGCGAAAUCAAGGACCUGGUGAGGCUGAUCAAGCUCGCCAAAGAGAAGGUACCAGACAUAUUCCAAAAUAGCGGCGCCGACGGUGAGACCGGCUCCGGUGGUGAUAGAGAUCAGCAGCAGCUGGCGCCCCCGAGGUACAACACGCUUGGAGUAUCGAGCUGGAGGAACCUAGGAUUCGAAGCGGUGGAUUUUGGGCGUGGGAGUCCGGCGCGCGUGAUGUGGAAGGCGCACCCGACGGUGGGGCUCGUCUGCGUUCUGUGCCCGCCGUGCAAGGGGGAGCACGGCGUCACCGUCGUGUCCCGCUGCGUCAAGCCGAAGCAUGCCGACGCCUUCGUAGCGGAGUUGGCCGCCCUCGACGUAUAA
rnacentral:rRNA from 1 species